rnacentral:lncRNA from 1 species
CUUGAAGUCCACGCUGCCAGGCCCCCCUGGGGCAGUUAACACAAUGAAUGAUUUACUCAUUGCCAGUUCAUCUAUAUCAAAUUACAGGUUUUCUUGAGUCUCAACAUUGACUCAUUUUUUUCCUGCAGUUAAUGUGCUUGUGGAGUUGUUCUUUUGAAGGGAUGCCGGUUCUCCUUCUCAAUGCAGGAAUGAAAAUAAUUCUACCUAAGUGGAAAAACAAUCACAGAAAGUAUCCAAUGGAGUGUUCUUUUUUUAUUCUCAGCUGGAUUCAUGGAUAUUUAUAUUUAUUUGUAUUCAUGUAUUUGCAUUUUUUUCUUACUGAGCACCAUUUUACCUGGUUGAACUUUGUUUUAUAAAUGCACAAGGGCUUACAUCAUCCUGUGGGCAUCUCUGAAGAUCUAAGGGAAGAAAAUCUGAACCAGAAAGAAUGUGGCUGGCUUGAGGUCUGACGCAAAAGAAAAAACUUAUAAAUUUCCUCAUAGAACUCAUAUUAAAAUGGGAGUUUGGAUUCAAGCAACUAAACACUGAAAUUAAAAUUCUUAUAUGGGGUAUUUGUAGUUUCCAAUUAUAUCUUUAUGAUAUUUUCUCUGUGGAAGUUGAUUGCUGUUCAUUAUAAUAAAUUACUUGAAUUGUCUGUAUCUUUACUUAACCAUUUCUUUUCAUGUCUUUGCUUUCUUUUGUUCUUUUUAAAAGUAGAAAAUGCUCAGUUGCUAAAUAAUGAAGACUUAAUUUUUUGUUUCUCCCAAAUUUUACCUUACUCAUGAUCAUUAAUAAUUUUCAGAAGGGUUCUGAACCCUUCUCUUUUCUUGUGAACUCUAGAAAAAUGCUAGCUCAGUAUGCAUAGUACUCCAUCCUUAACCAGCUAUGUUAUUGCUUUGAACCCUGUUCUCCAACUUACUCAAGAAACUGCAGUUAAAUAUUAUUGGGAUCCUUUUUUUUUCUAUAACAAACACGUUUCUAUGUAUUUUAUGGAUAAUUAAAUAAAACUUGAACUCUGGGCUUAAGGUUUUUCUCACUGACUUGUCAUAGGAAAUACAAAAGUAACAGAAAUGAAUUUGUGGCUUAAAAGCAUCUUUUAGAGGGCCAGGGAUUUAGCUCAGUGGUGCUGUCCACUGCCUCACAAGCGAAAGGUCCCGAGUUUGAUCCGGUACCAAAAAAAAGGCUUCUGUGACCUACAUUUUUUGAGACAAUGAAAGUAAGGAGUCAAGAUCUUACAUGAUAAAGUGAAAGACAUCACUACCAGGAAAGCCAGUUAUGUGAAACAACCGUGUGAACCAUGUAAAAGCUGGAGAGGGGUGUCUUGAGAACCAGGGCUCAGUUUUGUCACAAGGGUUAGGUCAAUAGAAUACCAGUGCCACAUGCCUGGCAGAGUUCUUGCCACAUAGAUGUUAGUUGCUCCCUGGAUUAACCCCAGCUCUUGCUUUAUGGAUUCCUUGCUGACAUACCAUCAUAUUUAUCAGUGCUCUUACCUGUUUCUUUCCUUUGUCAAGGUUGUCAUCCACCUGGCCCUGCCUACGCAGCUGCAGCUAAAGGGCAGGUUCUCAGAUCAUAUGCCUCUCCCCUACUUUAUUUCCUUUUUUAAAAAAUCACCAUUUGGGACUUAGAGUUGGCUACUCAGAUUAAAAAAGUGUCUAAUUUAAUUUGGAUCAUUGAACCUUCAUUUCACUUUGGCUCGUUCAACUUAUUGAAUCAGACCAAAUUCUCAUAGUCCCUCAGGAAAUACCAUCUUUUACCCACAAGUUGGCAAAGGACUCCCAUUUUCAAAGAGAUAUUCAACCCAAUAACCAGAGGAGGUCCUGUGGCAGUCAAGAUUGGUCAAGGAAACAUAGGUCACUAUAAUCAUGACUCAGCCCUGGUUAUUAUCAUUGGGACAUAAUUUCACCUCUCUGCUAUUUCUAGCCAAUCUAUUUCUUAUCUCUCUUCUGCUUUUUCCUUUAUAUUUCAGCAAAAAUUCUAAGGUCUGUGAUCCAUUUUCAUGUUCGCCAAGAUCACAUUGGCACAGAAAUUUUUCUGCAGCCUUCCCUUGAGGACAACAUCACACUGAAACUUUCUGACCUUAAGCUAAAGGCUGUGCAAGCCUCUUAGCUACUUGUCUUCUGAUCAGCUUCUACUCCCACCUCCUCUUUUACUCAUUCAUUUCUUUCUUCCUUUCCUUAACACAGGUACUCCAUAGUUCUUUCCCCAUCUCUCUCCAGCUUUCUUUCAUCUGACCCUGAAAGACAAAAUGCUGAUAAGCUCCCUUCCCUGCUUCAUUAAAAAAUUGCCAUUAAAAUUUAUAGCUGGUUUAGGCUGGCCAUCACUGAUCUUCUUGAUUUAGUUACCGCCAAGAAAUGCUUUAUGAUUAUCCACUGACUUAUUUAUAACAAACAUAACAAAGUCCUUGGUGUUAGCAGCCUGUAGAGAAAUUAUUUGUUUUGAAAAUAGAGUGGAUACUUAAAGUUCUCUGUGAAGAAUGGGAGUGUUUGGGUUUGUUGUACUUGCAUAUUUUAUAUAGAAAGGUAAAGUCUCCAAGCCUCAAUAUGUAAUAACAUCAAAUCAUUUUGUUGCUGUGUAGAAAAUGUGUGUUCUAAGGUUGCACAGAAAAUUUCCUAAUACUUCUUAAGCACUGGUUUCAGUAGGCCACUGGUGAGGCUGGUAAGUGAAAACAAAGUGUACUGGUGAGGAUUAAAUGAUUCAUUGGCGGAAACUGUUUGAACAUCUAAAUGUGAUGAAGUUAGUUGAUUGUAGAAGAGUAAUUUAGAAGCUAAUGUAAUAACCACCUGUCUUGAGUCUGCUAUUUGAAGGAUGGUCAGAGAAGGAAUGAAUGCAGUGUUUGAAAUGUCUCAAUAGUGUUGAGUGUUCUGAUAUGUGUGAAAGUGAUCUGUUCUCCUUGGCACUCUGUCAAUCACUACAUGAGUUUAAGGUGUUCUGCAGUAUCCAAAGUCUUUUAACAGAUGCCUUUUGUCCUGAGAAAAACAGUGCAAUCACAUAGAACAGGCCAAUAAGAACAGUUGUAAUGCUUGUUUCCAAGGAGAAAUUGUGGCUGUAUCUUCUGGAAGUAAACACCAACAUUAUGGUGCCAGUGAUUGCUUUAGCACUUCACUGUCACAGAAGAAAUCUGAUGUCCACAGAAUGGUCAUAAUAUUCUGCCUUCUGUGCUUAGGAUCUGGCAGUAAAGACCAAGUGUCCAUACCUGUACUACUAUUGAUUACUGUAUAUUCCUUUGCUGAAGGCAGUGCUAUCUUAUGGGGUGUUGCAGAUAUAGAAGAGCUUGGUGGUGAAGGUGGAAGAAUAAAGACUGGUUUCUGCUGGUUCAAGUGGACUUUACCUAAUAAAUAUGGGAGCCAAGAGUAGAAGAACCAAUCACAUCAGGGAAAGCCUUCAAUAGCAGUUUUAAUGAGGUGCCUGGAUAAUUCAGGAAGUGUGGCUAGAUAAACCAAGUUCAAGUGAGGGUCCCACGUGACCCAAUCAAUUUCCACAUGAUAAUCCACAGAAAGCACUGUGUCAAAAUCACAACAAUGACAACUGAAACCUAAUCUUUAUCUCUUAAAAAUCAGCAAGGUAGAUUCGGUUUAUAAUCCACCAUAAAACACCUCUCAAACUCCUUUUGGUUCCUUUCCAACUUCUCCGACUCCAAAGCUGCUCCAGAAACAUUCACAUCCCAAAUAUCAAAAUGCUUUUUCACAUACCAUGUGGCACAUGUGAGCUUUCAUCACUUAUGCACACCUUCAGCUCUUAGUUUGCAGGCUCUACUCAGCCUCUCUUGUUUUGCUUUGCUUUCUCUUGUCCUUUGUUGUUUAAUGUGGUUCUAGCAUUUAAAAAAAGAUUAGGAACUAGUUUGGUAAAAUUCUCUUAGAAGCUAAGACAAGGGCAAGUGAAGAGUCUGAGGUAAAUACAAAGUUCUCUCAUUAGCUGGGGUGGAAACAGCAAUCUCAAACCAUUGCUGUGUUAAAAUAUCUGGUCCUAUCCCAACCUACAGUAAGAGCUAACAUUUAUUAGGAGUCAACAAAGUUCACGCAUUUUGUUGAGUAUUUUUAUAUAAUUAUGACAUGAUAAUUCUAAUUUAUCUUACAAAUUUGUAACAUCACUGUAAAAAUAAGGAGACAGUAGUUCAGAACGACUGAAUAACUUGCCAAGGCCACAUCGCAGGUUAAUAACAGAAUUAGGAUUUCCGAACCUCAGAAACCCUGCAAACACAGUGUACCUCAGUUCAUGAACACUAGUUUGCAAACAAUUUGGUUUACAAACAGAAACUUUUGGAAAAAUUUUGUUUUUGUUUGCAAACUCUACAUUGGGUGGCAAACAUGCCCGCAGUCGUAUUUCCCACACAAACACCAUCAUGGCCAUCAUUUCCAAAAUCAUAGAAAAAAAAUUAAGUUCGUGAAUCAAGAUACCACUGUAUCAUAUUCUUAAUCAUUAUAAACUCUAUGAAUUAGCAUCUCUCAAUGGCUGAGAUUGUACUGAGAUUAAAGCAAUUACUGAAACAUUGAUGCUGUUUGAAUAUAAGAAAUAUAAUUUAAGAAAUAUAAUUUAAUUCCAUCCUUUUUUUGAGGUAAGUGUAUUAUUUUGGACCCAACUCUGUAUUAACAAGAUCUGUAUUAGCAAAGGUUAGACACUUGUCUACAAAUUAGUACUGAAAUGUCCCAAUAUAAAUGCUUGUGAUUUGGAAGAGAAAUUCAAAAUUUAAAACUUCUCUUAAAAUUUUUUUUAACUGUUUCCUAUCCUCUGCCCAAAUGAUCAGCAGGAAUUCUAUAGCCCAGGGUUAAAAUUCUGAAUUUGUUACCCCUGAGUGGUUCACACCUCUCCACUCUGCCUCUUCUUGGAAACUGGAGGAAGGUUUUAGGAAGGAGGGGGAUUAAAGAGCUCAUGAGCACGUGGCAGUGAUGGAGCAUGGACCAAACCAGUCCACCAGUUUCUCUGGACAAUAUGCCACAUCCAACAGG